CGGGGGUCGGGAGAGGCGUCAGGAUCCCUGGCGCCGCCUGAGCCAGCGGCUGCUAGGAGGCUGUGUCCGCAAGCCAGCGGGGCGAGGCGGCUGGGCCCUGCGCGUCAGGUCCCGGCCUGGGGCACCGGGGCUGCCAGCGUCGGAGGAGGCCUGAGACCUGGGAGGAAGCUGGAGAAAAGAUGCCCUCUGAAUCUUUCUGUUUGGCUGCCCAGGCUCGCCUCGACUCCAAAUGGUUGAAAACAGAUAUACAGAUGAUAGUGUCGAACCAAGUGGAACAAAGAAAGAAGAUCUGAAUGACAAAGAGAAAAAAGAUGAAGACGAAACUCCUGCACCUGUAUAUAGGGCCAAGUCAAUUCUGGAGACCUGGGUGUGGGUCAAGCAACCAGGAAACGGAAGCCCAAAGAGGAGAGGAGUUUACAGCAGGCCCUGGACUAGGGAUUAACACAAAAACAACAACAACAAAUCUGAUUUAAACUUCACACAUGUAAGUAAAACAUUACCACCCCUA
rnacentral:lncRNA from 1 species